rnacentral:lncRNA from 10 species
GCGUCUCGGAACGGCAUCCGGAGGCCUGCCGGGCUUUUGGGGAGGGGAGCCCCACCCCCACCCGGGGUCCACUAGUGCAUGCACCCUAACCACAACGAUGGCGAAAAAAAUGAGCAAAGCACCCUCCAACACUUCAUAACACAUUUUCCCCUUUUACGUUUAUUUCAUUACGAUGAAUUUUUGCAACAGCAGCGCAGAAAUUGCUCUUGGGGACCAGUGCAUAAUAACUAAGGGUCGGGGUGGCACCUGGGGUGACAGGCAUUCUUUUAUUUCGAAACUGCCUUUGUCUACUGUGGACAUCUCCACACAAGGGCGCGGUGUCCCUCCCUGGAGGGCCUGGCCCGCUGCAGGGGUACGAUUCCUGUGACUCAGCUUUCAGUCCAGUGGCGGGCAUGCGCCCCACCCCGGGCCUCUUUGUCUUCCUCGCUGGCGUUCCUCUUGCCUUGGGUGGGACGUAAAGCACCCUUAAGUGAUUUUAAAAGAGAAAGUUUCAUCACUGAAACAUCCAUAUUGUUUCAUCAGCAUAAUUUUUGUGAGCACUCAACAGUAGUAUUUGCUGGGUGUAAGGUAAUUUGGAGUUUAUAGGGUAAAACACCUCCCUCUUAGCAAAAUAAGUCAAGCUCAAGCUCUGCCAUUGACUUUACUGCCGGACAAUGAGGAAGUUCUUUACCUUCCUCUUCCUUAUUUUCAUAAAUUUUAAAAGUGAUGGCUAAGGAGGCCAGCGUUGAAUUCCAAAGACUACAGUUACAUUAUCUCUAAUGUCUUAAGAUGAAAUUCAAAAAUCAAAUUAUAUUUUCAAGGGAGCGUUUCCAGCACUAGGACAUCGCUGAAGUGCAUCUGCAUCUGGAAAUAUAAGAGAUUCGGGUAGAGGGAAGCAGUUUUCAAAAUGGCACCUGACUCUGUGAAUACCAGUGACCCACUUGCUACUGAAAAUUAGUUACAAAUACCAUGCCACGCGCCUGCAAAUGGCGUGUGAAAGGAAAAAGACUCGCCGGUUAUAAAGAGGCCUAGCUGUGAUUAUUUCUAAGAGACAAGGCAGUGUGCAAAAUAUUCCUUCUCCUUUUCCGUGGCCUGGGGAAAUGUUUUUAGAAACCCCUUGCUAAUCAUUUUUAUGGCACAGGCUUUUGUCUCGCUGGGGAUUAGAGUCAACCUUAUAUAUAGACCCUUGAAUGCCACUGCCAGCAGCUUGGACUUCCCCGUUUCUCCAUCUACUUGACUUCCUUUUUCCUGGGGAGGAAGGAGGUGGGGGUGAGCAGGGGCAGGUGACCGUCUGGUCCCCUAGUUAAUGCUCUGCUGGGUGGCUGCCUUCCUGGCCUCCGAAUGGGGCACUGGACCUGUUCGUGCAUGCACCAAAUGUCACCUGUCUGGUAACAGCCCCCCCGCCCCUGUUCCAUGUUGGGAGUCUACUUCAUCGUUGAAACACAGAAAAGAUCUUGCAGGGUGCCUUUUCGCCCGUUUAGCUGGCAGCUGCCGUUGUACCGACACCGUUUCCGCAGGUUCUGUGAUUCUGUUUCCCCUCACCCAGCUGCUGUCGAAAAUCAUUUCUUUCCUCCCAAUGUCUCCUGAUGACAAAGGAGUGCCACUACCUUCUCCUGGCUUCUUCUCCCAAGGGCCUUUCCUCAGAAAGGGUUAGGCCUCACUGAAGCAAUUCUCCAAAGGAGAUGGACGAAUGCAAACUUGGAAAUGUCUGGAGAAGUUUUCCAGUGCGGUAGCAAGCAGCCUUCCACUGUGCUGAGACACUGAUGGAGGGCAGGUGGAAACAGAGAGGAAGAGAAAGAGAGACGACUGCUUAAAGGAAAAGAGUUCCCAUGAUUGGGACUGACCUGCCAACCGGUCAGGAGACCUAGAGAGACAGGAAAGGGAAGGGUGGUGCAGAUACAAGGAAAUGCAAACCAAAGGAAUAUUCUUAAAAGUUGCAUGACUCUGGCCAUGUGAAUGAAUCUUUCUGUGCUGGAGUUUUCUCAUCUGUAAAAUGGGUUCAUUGCAACACCGACCUCACAGGGUUGUUGGGAGGAGUAAAUGCUUCGGACAGUGCAUGACAAUUAGUAAGCUCUUUCUAUUGUUAUUAUUCGUAUGAUUUAGGAUGGAAGGUUGAGGAAAAAUAAUAAAAUAAUUGUCUUAGUGUUUAGAAUUAAUUAAAAAUUUUAGGUGU